CGGGGUGACGGCGCGGCGGGCAUGCGGGCGCUGCUGACGCUGGCGCAGCCACCGGACGCGGUGUUCGCGUUCAACGACCUGAUCGCGCUGG
rnacentral:tRNA from 1 species